rnacentral:snRNA from 1 species
AUCGCUUCUCGGCCUUUUGGCUAAGAUCAAGUGUAGCAUAAUUACUUUUUCUACUUACUGUAAGAUUAUAUAAAUUUAUUUUAUGUUACAGCUCAUAUCUACAGAGAAAAUGUACCAUCA